UACGAAGGGGGCUAGCGUUGUUCGGAAUUACUGGGCGUAAAGCGCGCGCAGGCGGCUAUCCAAGUCAGUGGUGAAAGCCCGGAGCUCAACUCCGGAACUGCCAUUGAAACUGUUUAGCUUGAGGACGAGAGAGGUGAGUGGAAUUCCCAGUGUAGAGGUGAAAUUCGUAGAUAUUGGGAAGAACACCGGUGGCGAAGGCGGCUCACUGGCUCGUAUCUGACGCUCAGGCGCGACAGCGUGGGGAUCAAACGGG
rnacentral:rRNA from 1 species